CAGUCGAGCGGUAGCACAGAGAGCUUGCUCUCGGGUGACGAGCGGCGGACGGGUGAGUAAUGUCUGGGAAACUGCCUGAUGGAGGGGGAUAACUACUGGAAACGGUAGCUAAUACCGCAUAAUGUCGCAAGACCAAAGUGGGGGACCUUCGGGCCUCAUGCCAUCAGAUGUGCCCAGAUGGGAUUAGCUAGUAGGUGGGGUAACGGCUCACCUAGGCGACGAUCCCUAGCUGGUCUGAGAGGAUGACCAGCCACACUGGAACUGAGACACGGUCCAGACUCCUACGGGAGGCAGCAGUGGGGAAUAUUGCACAAUGGGCGCAAGCCUGAUGCAGCCAUGCCGCGUGUGUGAAGAAGGCCUUCGGGUUGUAAAGCACUUUCAGCGGGGAGGAAGGCGGUGAGGUUAAUAACCUUAUCGAUUGACGUUACCCGCAGAAGAAGCACCGGCUAACUCCGUGCCAGCAGCCGCGGUAAUACGGAGGGUGCAAGCGUUAAUCGGAAUUACUGGGCGUAAAGCGCACGCAGGCGGUCUGUCAAGUCGGAUGUGAAAUCCCCGGGCUCAACCUGGGAACUGCAUUCGAAACUGGCAGGCUAGAGUCUUGUAGAGGGGGGUAGAAUUCCAGGUGUAGCGGUGAAAUGCGUAGAGAUCUGGAGGAAUACCGGUGGCGAAGGCGGCCCCCUGGACAAAGACUGACGCUCA
rnacentral:rRNA from 1 species